AGGCAAGGUCUUCUACAUCUGUAGUCACUGACGAGACUGUACGUAUUUGAGCAUUUUGACAGCUCGAAAAAUUAUUAAAAUAUAUUUUAUGGUACAAUUUAAUACUAGAUAGUAUUUAGGUUUCAAUUGUACUGACAAUGUACUCUAUUUUAUAAGCUAAACGAAUAAUAAAGAAGGUUAGGCGGUUCAGAGGUCCUAUUAACAUUGUGCCCUCCUGCUUACCUAACGGUAACAAAGCACUGAAAAAUGUUACACAGAACUCCUAACCUUCGGAGAUUUCUUCAAAAUAUUAGCAGUUAUAGUAAAGACUAUUUGUACGUUUUUCAAGUAGGGUAUACAAGGAGGCAUAGCAGCACUUUGAUAAAGUGUAACUAUGGUGCAAAGUGCAAGUUACAUAUCAUUGCAAAUUCUCAGAAGGUUUUUACCAACAAAAUAGGGUAUCCAGAGGAAAUGAGAUUGAUACUUGUUGCAAUGCCAAGGUCAAUUUCUAUAUUCACAAAAGUACAAAAAGAACAAUCAGGAAAUAUAAGUAAGCCAGAGGAUGAAGCGCAACAAACAAUAAUAGAAUUAAAAGAAGAAAACUUAGGACAAUUGAAAGAGAGAAAAUUAGAUGUUAAAUCUACUUCUGUGGGUGAUAAUCAGAAUAAAAAAGAAAAACAAGCAUCAGGUAAAAAGAGAAGUAAGAUGGAUAAAAGUGUAUCUUCCUUAGAACGUAACUUUAUCACACCUGUUAGAGCUAUGUGUGAUUUUUUACUAAAACCUUCUGAUCUUGAAAACUUACCAAAGACUAAAAGAAGAUCUCCAUAUGAAUUUGAACCACCAAUUACUGUAUAUUGGAGAAAAGAUGUUGAGGCAAAAGCAUUGGAAGUUUGGGGAUCAAAGGAAGCCUUAAAGAAAGAGCUCCUUAAGAAAGAACUGGAACAAAAGGCUUACCAACAAAAUAUAUUUACUGUUAAGCGAAGGCUCCGAGAUUACAGACGAGAAAUGGGCAGUAAAACCGAGUUUGUGCAAAAGGAGGGCCUUUUUGGAAGAUCUGGUACUGUAGUUUUAAUUGCGAGUCUAAUCAAUGGCAGUAAUUUCGUAUUCAAGUUAUGUGCAUGGAUAUACACCGGGUCGCAUAGUAUGUUUUCGGAAUGUGUGCACUCUGCCGCGGAUACUUGCAAUCAAUUAAUAUUAGCGUACGGUAUCCAUAAGUCAAUACAGGAUCCCAAUCCUGAUCACCCAUAUGGUUACACUAAUAUGAGAUACGUUUCUUCUUUGAUAUCUGGUGUUGGUAUCUUUUGUGUGGGUACUGGUUUAUCAAUUUACCAUGGAAUUCAUGGUCUUCUUCAUCCUUCGGCAGUAGAGUCCUUCUAUUGGGCAUAUGUUCUCUUAGCCGGUUCCUUGGUAUCCGAGGGUGCGACAUUAUUAGUAGCAAUACAAUCAAUUAAAAAAGGAGCAGAGGAGAAGCGACAAACAUUUAAGGAAUAUGUAUUAGGGGGGCAAGAUCCUUCAGUAAACGUCGUCCUUAUGGAAGAUUUCGCCGCUGUACUUGGCCUUAUUUGUGCUGCUAGUUGCAUGGGUCUAACUUCCUGGCUAGAAAAUCCAGUAUAUGACUCCGUUGGAUCUCUUUUAGUGGGUGGCCUUCUUGGUGCAGUGGCAAUGUUUAUAAUUCGUACAAACGCGACCGCUUUAAUUGGAAGAAGUAUAUCUCAAGAUGAUCUUGAUAAGAUCAAUGCGGAGUUAGAGUCAGACAUAAUGGUUCGAGCAAUUCACGACGUUAAAGGUAUUGAUAUGGGCAAUAAUGUAGUUCGAUACAAAGCCGAAAUUGAUUUCGAUGGCAGAGAAUUGACAAGAUCGUAUUUGGAUAAGAACGAUCUCAACGAAAUGUUAAAGGAAGUACAACGAAUGGAAAACAUUGAUGAAUUGGAAGGGUUUAUGUUGAAACAUGGCGAAGGUAUCGUUGAUACAGUAGGUGGAGAAGUAGACAGAAUGGAGCUAAAAUUAAAGAAGAAUCAUCCAGAGAUUCGACAUUGCGACUUGGAAAUCCUGUAAAUACUUCGUACGAAGUACGAAAGUAAACGCGAUACACAAUGUAAAUACUGUUUAAUAUAUAUAUAGCACCGUCAAGCUUAUUAUUUAUAUACGAUAGGUAUAGCACAUGUGUUUUCAUUUAUAGAUCAAAAAGAAAAAUAAAACAAACAAGUUCGGAUGUCCUAUUUAUAAAA